UGGGGAAUUUUGGAUAAUGGGCGAAAGCCUGAUCCAGCCAUGCCGCGUGAGUGAAGAAGGCCUUCGGGUUGUAAAGCUCUUUUAGUCGGAAAGAAAGAGUUGCAAUGAAUAAUUGUGAUUUAUGACGGUACCGACAGAAAAAGCACCGGCUAACUACGUGCCAGCAGCCGCGGUAAUACGUAGGGUGCGAGCGUUAAUCGGAAUUACUGGGCGUAAAGGGGGCGCAGGCGGUUUUGAAAGUCAGAUGCGAAAGCCCCGGGCUUAACCUGGGAAUUGCGUUUGAAACUACAAGGCUAGAGUGCAGCAGAGGGGAGUGGAAUUCCAUGUGUAGCAGUGAAAUGCGUAGAGAUGUGGAAGAACACCGAUGGCGAAGGCAGCUCCCUGGGUUGACACUGACGCUCAUGCACGAAAGCGUGGGGAGCAAACA
rnacentral:rRNA from 1 species